GCUGCAGGCGGCCUGGGGUCUGGGGGGCAGGAAAGGGCUUGAUGAUGCGAACCGAGGCUGAAUCCAUGCUGCUUAGCAUUUCAACAUUCUGGAAAGACAUGGGAGUAAAAGAUAGAUCACAGGUCCCUCAGCUCCGCCCUGACCAACCAAAUGACCUUACGCUGUAGGUGCUGUGAUCCUGCUAAGGAACACCCUCAACCUAAGAGGUGACUCAAACAGUUAGCUUUCAGAUGUCCUGACAACUUGCCAUUUGAAGACCCAAAACAGAACUUAUAAGAAACAAUCCUAUCAAGUUCAGUUCCCAAGACAGGAAAAGAUCUCAAAUAUUAAACUAAGUCAGUCAGUGCUGAACAGCUAAGUCAUUCACAGCUGUGGGGAGGGGCAGAGCAGCACUCCUGUUUAAAUCUCCAUCCAUGCAACAGGGUCGCAUGCAACAAGUUCAUUGUCACAGCUGUCACGAGAAUGGACCUUAACAUCCAACCUAGAUCCUUCCUGCUGCAAUGACCUUCCACCAGCCAAAGAAGGCGCAGCUGGAAAGGCUGACGGUUCUUGCUGAGGUGGCCAACUGAAGGUCUCAAAGUGCAACUGAAUGACUGUUUCUUUCAUGCGGUAUACUUACACUGGGGUGAAACAGAGACAGAGAUUCAUACUGCUUAUCCAGUUUCUUAUCCUAGAAAGAAAAGCAGCACAGGGAAAACAGUCAUUCAUACAAUUCAGUUAAGUGCUCUUUCCUUACAGGCUCCUCCUAAUGUUAACUGAAGAACUUAUAACUUGAGUAGUAAAAGUGGGAGCAGAUCCAGCAGGGAUAACACGAAAAAAAAAAGUCAUCGGAAACAUCAGAUUUUGCUAAGAACAAAUUUCAUCUUUUCUAUAGGUUAUAUGGUUGGAGUUGCUCAAAAUUUUAAUACAAUGUUUCAUUAAUUAAAAAUUGGUGACUUACCACACAAUGGACAAGAAUGCUGAAAGGAAUCCAAAAUAUCAAGGAGAAAACCAGGACGGAACCUACGAUGUUGUCUGCUAAAAACUUCCCUGUAACAAUUCCAAACAGUGAAUGUCUUGAUCAAGCACUUAGAAAUCUAAAAUUAAAUGCUCUUAGUGUAUUACCAGUGUGUCAAAUGCCACAGACUUCUUGCUAGAUAAACUGACCCAGUACUAAAAGGAGUGUCUGUGCCACCUAUACUAGACCUGACCACCUCCCUACACCAUGGUGCUUUUCCAGAAAUAGCCCUGAUACACUUGAUGAGAAGAAAAGAUUACUUCACAGAGUGCUCAACAGGAUCCCUGGAGUAAUGGUGUCAGCGGACUGAUCAACAGAAGGCUACGACCAGUAACGAUGUUGAAGAUGAGGGUGUUGUUGCUAUCUGGGUAUUAUUAUUUUUGUGACAAACUAUAAAUUAUGUACCCUAGAGGACAUAAUACAUCCUUGCUUCUGCAAAAUCUGAUGCCCACUUUUAAAUAAACAAUUCUUACAUCAAACAGGAUUCAGAUUUACAGUCUAUAGGACUGAACCAUGCUUAUGCUGUCAUGUGUUCAUUUUUUAGUAAAGAAGGAAGCCAAUAUUUUGACUAAG